rnacentral:snRNA from 1 species
CAGUGAUUUCAGCUCUUUUAGUAUUUGUCUAGCAGGUGUUCCACCCCUUGGGAAGUCCCUA